UUUUGAUGAAUGCGUUGGUCGGUCUGCAGACCUCGAGCAAGGCAAAUUAACGUCCCCAGCCAGAUUUUCACCCCAGGCAGUUUUACUCCCCUGUUGUUCCUGGUUCGUCCAGUAGGGGGAGAAGAAUAUACAUAGGGUGCUCAGCAUCAACCAAAUACAAAGAGGAAAAAAGGAUUCAUUGGUACACAUCAUAUGCAUUUGGAUUCUAUCACUGGAAAAAUUCAGCAUUCAUCGGGGGCCUUGGAUGGCUGGAGUAGAAAUAUGAGGUUAGAAAUGUAAUUUUAUAAUUCAAUACUUC